GAGUUUGAUCUUGGCUCAGAACGAACGCUGGCGGCAGGCUUAACACAUGCAAGUCGAACGGACGUAGCAAUACGUCAGUGGCGCACGGGUGAGUAACGCGUGGAUAUCUGCCUUUUGGUUCGGGAUAACCUUGGGAAACUAGGGCUAAUACCGAAUGGUUCCUACGGGAUAAAGAUUUAUCGCCAAAAGAUGAGUCCGCGUCCGAUUAGCUAGUUGGUGUGGUAAUGGCGCACCAAGGCGACGAUCGGUAGCUGGUCUGAGAGGACGAUCAGCCACACUGGGACUGAGACACGGCCCAGACUCCUACGGGAGGCAGCAGUGGGGAAUAUUGGACAAUGGGGGCAACCCUGAUCCAGCCAUGCCGCGUGAGUGAUGAAGGCCUUC
rnacentral:rRNA from 1 species